GAAACACCCCUGGGGAAUCAGAGACAGUGCUGAGUGGGGCAUGAAGCCAUACUUAGGAGCCAUGAUAGCCACCUCACUCUACAGUCUGAGACUUGAAAGUGACUCUACAAUGAGAAGGCAUUAGGAGUUUUGAGGACAGAAGGAAUUCACCGCAGAGACCACCAUGUGCAGGAAUUGAUUCAGUGAC
rnacentral:lncRNA from 1 species